UUUUUUUCCCUUCAAAUUAGUCUUUUUUUCAAUUUAUCUUCCUGUAAAAGCAAUUGUUUGGGAAACAUUUAUCAUUCUAUGCCUGAUAUUUAUACAUAUUAUAUUUUUUUUUUCGAUAUCAUGAAUUAUAGCUCAACAUUCUGAAACUGAAGCUCUUGAGGAGCUGUUAUCCCUUAAAAGGGUUU